rnacentral:sRNA from 1 species
GCAGGGCAUGGUGGCACAUGCCUGUAAUCCCAGCAGCUAAGGAGGCUGAGGCAGGAGAAUAGUGAGUUCAAAGCCAGCCUUAGCAACUUAAUGAGGCCCUAAGCAGCUUAAUGAGACCCUGUCUCAA